GUUUUGGGAACGUCCAGUUCGGGGUCAGUUCCACGGAGGAAGGUGGAAGGAGUUGUUGCAUGACCGAGUUGGCCUAGGCAGCGAAGGGACCUCGGCGCAAAGGCUGGUCCUCAGCCAGCGUCCAGCGGGGCCGAGAGGGCGGUCGUGCUGUGGGCCCGGGAAGUGACGUGAGCCUGCGUCCCGGUUAUCUCAUCUGCUGCCGUCCUCUCCAGUAGCUCCCUUUGUAAAUUUUAUUUUUCGAAAGAAAAGGACUUUCCGCAGUUAGAGUCGUGUUGACGUCGCGGUGUCCUCCCUCCUCUUGGACCUGGUGACUGCUGCGAGUCGGGGUGAGCCCUGCGAGAAAACUGGUUCGGGGCUGAAGCUGUAGCUGGGUGGCGGAGCGCUUGCUCAGGUCCAGAGCGUGGGUUCCACGCCAUGCCCCGGGCGCGAGGUGGCGAAGUUUCCUGAGGACCUUUUUCCCCCCUCUUAGGCAAUUCAAUGUUUCAAAUGAGAGUGUGCCGCCUUUGCGCAUCAGAUAGUUACCUUUUCAUACUCUACUUUGUUAGAAAGGUGAAGGUACUUUCUUAGGUGCCGAAGGUGUGCCUAGUUUUGUAUGUGAACACGAACGUUUGUAGAACACAAGCCUUUUUAUAAACAAAACCACGAAUUUACAGGCAUUCCCUUCAUCCGAACUUCCUAAGGCUGUACAUCCAUCCCCACAGAAUUUAAGAACCGUGCCUUCAGUAAGGAAGGAGGCUUUACUGCACUAGGAAUAGUUUAUCUUUGACAAGAUAGUUGGACUAAAAAUACAUAAACAAAUGUAAUAAGAAACCUUGGAUUUUAGAUUCAACAAUAUCCAAAACCGAACAAUGUGACUAAAUUAACAUUUGAAUGAGUAGAUAUUAGACAAUACUAUGUAUAUUAAUUUUCUUUUUAUGGAUUUGUGUGUGAUGAGGAUUGAACCCAGGGCCUGGUGCAUGCAUUUUACCAAUGAGAUAUUCACCCAGCCCACUAUUCAUUUUCUUGAAUUAAAAAAAACUAUUGUGAAUUUAAUCCCUUUUUUUAGGAGAUGCAUUACCAAGUAUUUAAUGUUCCAAUAUCAUCAUAUUUACAGUUUAUUUUCAACAGGCUUGCUUUCAAAUACAAUAAAAUGUGUGUGGGGGAAAAAGAAAACAUGAAAAAAAUGCUAAAAAUUAGUGGACCUAUUUGUUAUGAUUUAGAUAUGAGGUGUUCCCCCAAAAGCCCAUGUCUGAGACAAUACAAGAAAAUUCACAAGUGAAAUGACUGGGCUGUGAGAGCCUUACAUCAAGUCAGUGAAUGGUGGUGAUAAGUAGGCAGGUAGGGUAGGCUGGAAGCGAUAAUAGGUAAUUGGUAGCAUGUCUUUUGGGUCUGUAUUUUGUCCCUGGUGAGCAGAGCUCUCUCUGCUUCCUGAUUGCCAUGACUUGAGCUGCUUUCCUCUUCCACACCCUUCUGCUAUGGUGCUCUGCCUCACUUUGUGCCAAAGCAGCAGAGUCAGCCACCUAUGGACUGAGACCUCUGAAACCAUGAGCACCAAAUAAACUUUUACUCCUCCACAUAUUUCUUAUUGGAUCUUUUGAUCAUAGUGGCGAAAAGCUGACACAAACACUACUAUAGUGUGUGCAUAUUAUAUGUUAUGUUCAAAUGACCUGUUAGUAGCUUCACAUUUUUUCCAAAGAAAAAUGUGGGGAAAAUAUACUUCGCCCUUUAUAAUAAACUGGUGAAUGUGUUUCCCUGAAUUCUGUGAGAGGCUCAAGCAAAUUAAUUGAACUUGAGGAGGGGUUUAUGGGAACCCUGAUUAUAGCUAGUAAGAAGCACCAGUAAUUAAAGGUGUUGGGGUGGGGGGUGGGCAGAGGGUGUUGUUCAAUGGUUGAGUGCUUGCCUAGCGUGCAGAACGCUCUGAGUUCAAUCCCCAGUACCAAAAUAAAUUUAGUAAAUAGAUAAGUAAAGGCAGUUUUAGGGACUGAGCCCUCAACCUGUGAGAUCUAAUACUAUCUCCAGGUAGACAAUGUCAGAACUGAAUUGAAUUGGAGGAUUGUUGCAGAAAGAAUUAUUUGCUGUGUGUGAGGAAUAUUCCAACACAUCUGGUUUCAGAAGUGAUCUAUGUUGUGAGAGUAUUUGGAGAAGAAAUUGAAUUUGGGUUGGUUGGUGUUUCUUAUACAUGUACACAGUCUGCUCUUCAUUUCUGGACCUCAGAAAGCCUAGACACUCAAUAAGACUUCUCCCUGAUUAGAUCAAGUCCACUAGGAUAUUUUUCCCAUUGAUAAACAAAACUAACUCACUGGGGACUUUAAUUACAUUUACAUAAUCCCUGCACGUUUACCAUAUUUCUGUUAGAAACAGGUUAGAGGGUUAGAUAACAUAAGGGUAUUAUCCAGGAGGGUGUCUACCAGAAGGUGGAGAUCGCUGGGUCAUAUAAUUGUGCCUCUUGGGGAAAGCAGUCCCAAAUAGGGGCAGAAAUCUCCAAAGUGUUCUAUGUUAUUGGGAUUGGAAGCAAAAUGUCUGUCAAUAGAGCCAUUUCUACCCUUAUUCAUCAAUCUUGGGCCCAUGUAAUCUGGUUGUGGGGGAGACAGUACCAUGUAAGACUCUAAUUCAAAGCACUGUGUCAUAUGAGACAGAAUGCCACCCUUUCUUAAAGUUGUCUCACAGCAGGCCCUGCAGCUGAGUUUUCGGGAAGGCAUUCCCCCUCAUUUAGAUCAGCUACUUCUCAAUAAUGGGGAAUGUGUUAAGACUAGUUGAUUGCAGAGACUACUCCCAUUGUUGCACUAAAUUGCACUGGAAUGGUUUCCCUAGCCAGUGCCAUGUGAGUGCUGUCACUGUGGCUAAAGUAUUUUGUGAGCCCAUGGAUGGUGGUACCACCUGAAGUGUAACCAACAGAGAGUUGAUGUGGCCUUGUGAUGUUGAUGUCUAAGUGCCAACACUUGAUUUCUGCUGCUCUGGUUUUGACUUUUGCCAUUGGAAUAGAGGAACUCUGUGUGCAUUUCAGUGAUGGUAUCAGUACAUGAAUAUCUGGCAUAAUUUUUUUGUUAUCUCCAUAAAGAAAGUAUUGUCUUCUGGAUCAUCAACAUAGAUUGGGGUAAGGGUGGGAGGGGUGUGGAAAUCAGCUGGCAAAUUCAGUAGAACUUUCCUGUUUCUAGGAUCCCUUCUGUCACAUUAUGCCAGGGAAGUUCUGGCAUGUCAGCCUCACUAACUGUAGGUCAUCGUUGAAUCCAAGUUUUAGUCGCCUAGCUAAUUUAGCUGUUAAAGUCGUACCCAGGGCAACCCCUCUUGGGGUCCUCCUCCUGCCCCUGCAGGAGUUGUUUCUAUCUUCGCACUUAAAUAAAUCUUAUUCCUUAAAAAAAAAAAAAAAAAAAGGUCGCACUGAGGCAAGAGGUUUGCAAGUUUGAGGCCAACCUUAACCACGUAGGAAGACCCUAAGCAACUUAGACCCUGUCUCAAAAAAUAAAAAGGGCUGAGGUUGUGGCUCAGGAGUUAAACACCCCUGGGUUCAAUCCCCAGUACAAAAACAAACAAAAAAUAAAUAAAUAUACAAUUCAAGGGCUGAGGAUUAGCUCAGUGGUAUUAGAGUGCUUGCCUAGCAUGUGUGAGGCCCUGAGUUCCAUCUCCAGCACUGCAAGGAAAAAAAUAAAGAAAUAAAUUUUAAUUCUUUUCCAUCAUACUAGCUUCAUAUAAAAUGAACGUUAACACAUGUGAUGAGACAGUACAUUGUGGUGCUCUAGACAUUGCAGGUCUAGACCAACUUCUAAUCGUCCUGGAAUGUGACAGCAACCUCAGGUGAUCAGGACCACUUUAGCUACAGUUGGGCCCUGGUUCACCACUUCCUAAAUGGGUGAUAUGGAACAAAUCCUUUUAUUGUUUGAAUCUAGUUUUUUUCCAGCAUUAAAUAGGGAUUUGAUGUCUACGGUGAAUGGUUGGAAAGAUACAUAAGUCAGUCUGUCUCCCCUGUGCCCUCACGCGCCUCUCUCUCUCUCCACACACACACACACACACACACACACACACACGUGUGUGUGUGUGUGUGUGUGUGUGUAUACUGACCUCUAGUGUAAAUGCAUACUUUCUGGUCCUCAGUAAAUGAUAGUGGGUGUUAUUAAUACUUAUGUUAACAGGUUACACUGUAUUUAGUGGCUUUCUUUAUAUCAUCUGUGGCGAGUAAGCCAAUGUUUGAUGACAAAUGAUGAAGUACUGCUCUAUAAGGAAGAAUGGAGAUUUCCCUUAUCCUCCAAGAUUCAUAAGCUGCCUGUAGUGGUCUUGGCAUCUAGGAAAACAGCGUUCCAGAAAACUUUGCCUUCAUCCUUACAGAAUGAUGGUUAUUGAUUGGCCCCUGACCAGUCCUGUUAAUGUUCUUUUAUAGAGAUUCUGCUUUAUAUCCACCUUGUGUAACAGAGCCCAUUGGCCCAGGCCUGAGCAGCCACACCACCCAGCUUUUUAUUUUUUGUUUUUUUGGAGAUGCCAAAGUAGGCUAGAUAAUACUGUUGUGCAUAUGAGCCCCCUGGUGUAUGUGCUGCAUGAUAUCCUUGAGAAUUUUCAUCAUGGAUAAAUGAAGACAAUUUCUCUGAAUUUAAGUUUGCUUACCUGUAAAAUGAACUAUCGUAGUUUUUGUAAUGGGCAGUACCACUCACCAUCCCUUUUUCUAGCUCUAGGUGAGACAGGACUGCUCUAGCAUUCUAUGAUAGUAGUACACAUAUGAGAGAGAGAGAGAGAGAGCGCUUUUCAAAUGUGCAGGAUUACAUGGCAGUUUCAUGGUAGGAUGGAAUGGCUUCUAGGCAUGUAAGUGUAGGAAUUAGGGUAGUACCGAUUCUCAUGCCUUCUUUCUUUUCCAGGAGCAGUUCUUUUCAGGGAUCCAUUCAGCCUACUUGAAGAAAAGAUAAAAGCAGAA
rnacentral:lncRNA from 1 species